AGAGUUUGAUCCUGGCUCAGAACGAACGCUGGCGGCGUGGAUUAGGCAUGCAAGUCGAACGAGAAUCUGAGAGUUCAAGUUUUCGGACAAGAACUUUUGGAGGAAAGUGGCGGAAGGGUGAGUACAACAUGGAUAAUCUACCUUCAAGUUGGGUAUAGCUUCCCGAAAGGGGAGAUAAUCCCGAAUGUGGUGAUCCGGCGCAUGCCGGAGAAUCCAAAGGCGGGGACCGCAAGGCCUGCCGCUUGGAGAUGAGUCCGUGCACUAUCAGCUAGUUGGCGGGGUAACGGCCCACCAAGGCGAUGACGGUUAGCUGGUCUGAGAGGAUGGUCAGCCACACUGGGACUGAGAUACUGCCCAGACUCCUACGGGAGGCUGCAGUCGAGAAUCAUUCGCAAUGGGCGCAAGCCUGACGGUGCGACGUCGCGUGGAGGAUGAAGGUCUUCGGAUUGUAAACUCCUGUCAUGUGGGAGAAAUGGCCCGGGUCUGAACAGGACCUGGGAAUGAUAGUACCACAGGAGGAAGGGACGGCUAACUCUGUGCCAGCAGCCGCGGUAAUUCAGAGGUCCCGAGCGUUGUUCGGAUUUACUGGGCGUAAAGGGAGCGUAGGCGGUUCGGUAUGUCGAAUGUGAAAGCCCACAACUCAACUGUGGAAAUGCAUUCGAAACUGCCGGGCUAGAGUACUGGAGAGGAGAGCGGAAUUCUUGGUGUAGCGGUGAAAUGCGUAGAUAUCAAGAGGAACACCGGUGGCGAAGGCGGCUCUCUGGACAGAUACUGACGCUGAGGCUCUAAAGUUAGGGGAGCAAACAGGAUUAGAUACCCUGGUAGUCCUAACCUUAAACGGUGUACACUUGGUGUGCGAGGAAUUGUCCCUUUGCGCGCCGCAGCUAACGCGUUAAGUGUACCGCCUGGGGAGUACGGUCGCAAGACUAAAACUCAAAGGAAUUGACGGGGACCCGCACAAGCGGUGGAGCAUGUGGCUUAAUUCGAUGCAACGCGAAGAACCUUA
rnacentral:rRNA from 1 species